CCUACGGGGGGCUGCAGUGGGGAAUAUUGGGCAAUGGAGGCAACUCUGACCCAGCAACGCCGCGUGAAUGAUGAAGGUCUUCGGAUUGUAAAGUUCUGUGAUGGGGGAUGAACACAAUGACGGUACCCCAAUAGCAAGCCACGGCUAACUACGUGCCAGCAGCCGCGGUAAUACGUAGGGGGCAAGCGUUAUCCGGAUUUACUGGGUGUAAAGGGAGCGUAGACGGUGCGCCAAGUCUGGAGUGAAAUGCCGCAGCUUAACUGCGGAACUGCUUUGGAAACUGGCGAACUAGAGUGCGGGAGGGGUAAGCGGAAUUCCUAGUGUAGCGGUGCAAUGCGUAGAUAUCACGAAGAACUCCGAUUGCGAAGGCAGCUUACUAAACUGCCACUGACAUUGAUGCUCGAAAGUGUGGGUAUCAAACAGGAUUAGAUACCCCUGUAGUC
rnacentral:rRNA from 1 species